CAUUUACAGCAUCGUAUAUUAACCAAUAUACUACAAUCGGACAUUUGUGCUAACCUAUAUACUACGAUGUACCAAAAAUAUACUACACUGGCACAGAAAUAUACUACAACUCCGCUACAAUAUAACUACACUCUCGUAAAACAACCUCGAAAUAUGGUAGUAUAUGCUAAAAAUAUACAAUUGAAAAACGCUACGAUUUC
rfam:Anticarsia gemmatalis nucleopolyhedrovirus, complete genome.